ACUCAAAUGAAUUGACGGGGGCCCGCACAAGAGGCGGAGCAUGUGGCUUAAUUCGACGCAACGCGAAGAACCUUACCAAGGCUUGACAUACGCCGGAUGCCUGUGGAGACAUGGGGUCCCUUGUGGUCGGUGUACAGGUGGUGCAUGGCUGUCGUCAGCUCGUGUCGUGAGAUGUUGGGUUAAGUCCCGCAACGAGCGCAACCCUUGUCCUGUGUUGCCAGCAGGCCCGUUCGCGGGUGCUGGGGACUCACGGGAGACUGCCGGGGUCAACUCGGAGGAAGGUGGGGACGACGUCAAGUCAUCAUGCCCCUUAUGUCUUGGGCUGCACACGUGCUACAAUGGCCGGUACAGUGAGUGGCGAUGCCGUGAGGUGGAGCGAAUCUCAAAAAGCCGGUCUCAGUUCGGAUUGGGGUCUGCAACUCGACCCCAUGAAGUCGGAGUCUCUAGUAAUCGCAGAUCAGCAGUGCUGCGGUGAAUACGUUCCCGGGCCUUGUACACACCGCCCGU
rnacentral:rRNA from 1 species